GACGAACGCUGGCGGCGUGCUUAACACAUGCAAGUCGAACGGAAAGGCCCUGCUUUUGUGGGGUGCUCGAGUGGCGAACGGGUGAGUAACACGUGAGUAACCUGCCCUUGACUUUGGGAUAACUUCAGGAAACUGGGGCUAAUACCGGAUAGGAGCUCCUGCUGCAUGGUGGGGGUUGGAAAGUUUCGGCGGUUGGGGAUGGACUCGCGGCUUAUCAGCUUGUUGGUGGGGUAGUGGCUUACCAAGGCUUUGACGGGUAGCCGGCCUGAGAGGGUGACCGGCCACAUUGGGACUGAGAUACGGCCCAGACUCCUACGGGAGGCAGCAGUGGGGAAUAUUGCACAAUGGGCGGAAGCCUGAUGCAGCAACGCCGCGUGCGGGAUGACGGCCUUCGGGUUGUAAACCGCUUUCGCCUGUGACGAAGCGUGAGUAACGGUAAUGGGUAAAGAAGCACCGGCUAACUACGUGCCAGCAGCCGCGGUGAUACGUAGGGUGCGAGCGUUGUCCGGAUUUAUUGGGCGUAAAGGGCUCGUAGGUGGUUGAUCGCGUCGGAAGUGUAAUCUUGGGGCUUAACCCUGAGCGUGCUUUCGAUACGGGUUGACUUGAGGAAGGUAGGGGAGAAUGGAAUUCCUGGUGGAGCGGUGGAAUGCGCAGAUAUCAGGAGGAACACCAGUGGCGAAGGCGGUUCUCUGGGCCUUUCCUGACGCUGAGGAGCGAAAGCGUGGGGAGCGAACAGGCUUAGAUACCCUGGUAGUCCACGCUGUAAACGGUGGGUACUAGGUGUGGGGUCCAUUCCACGGGUUCCGUGCCGUAGCUAACGCUUUAAGUACCCCGCCUGGGGAGUACGGCCGCAAGGCUAAAACUCAAAGGAAUUGACGGGGCCCCGCACGAGCGGCGGAGCAUGCGGAUUAAUUCGAUGCAACGCGUAGAACCUUACCUGGGUUUGACAUGGAUCGGGAGCGCUCAGAGAUGGGUGUGCCUCUUUUGGGGUCGGUUCACAGGUGGUGCAUGGCUGUCGUCAGCUCGUGUCGUGAGAUGUUGGGUUAAGUCCCGCAACGAGCGCAACCCUUGUUCACUGUUGCCAGCACGUUAUGGUGGGGACUCAGUGGAGACCGCCGGGGUCAACUCGGAGGAAGGUGGGGAUGACGUCAAGUCAUCAUGCCCCUUAUGUCCAGGGCUUCACGCAUGCUACAAUGGCUGGUACAGAGAGUGGCGAGCCUGUGAGGGUGAGCGAAUCUCGGAAAGCCGGUCUCAGUUCGGAUUGGGGUCUGCAACUCGACCUCAUGAAGUCGGAGUCGCUAGUAAUCGCAGAUCAGCAACGCUGCGGUGAAUACGUUCCCGGG
rnacentral:rRNA from 1 species